GGGCCCGCACAAGCAGCGGAGCAUGUUGAUUAAUUCGAUGCGACGCGAAGAACCUUACCAGGGCUUGACAUCGCUUGACAGCUGUGGAAACACAGUGUUCCUUCGGGACAAGUAGACAGGUGGUGCAUGGUUGUCGUCAGCUCGUGUCGUGAGAUGUUGGGUUAAGUCCCGCAACGAGCGCAACCCUUAUGUUCAGUUACUAACGGGUGAUGCCGAGGACUCUGGACAGACUGCCGGGGACAACUCGGAGGAAGGUGGGGACGACGUCAAAUCAUCAUGCCCCUUACGUCCUGGGCUUCAAACGUGCUACAAUGGCCGCAACAAAGAGAAGCGAGGCAGCAAUGCGGAGCGGAUCUCAAAAAAGCGGUCCCAGUUCGGAUUGUGGGCUGCAACCGCCACAUGAAGUCGGAGUUGCUAGUAAUCGCGGAUCAGCAUGCCG
rnacentral:rRNA from 1 species